UACAGAGGUCUCAAGCGUUGUUCGGAUUCAUUGGGCGUAAAGGGUGCGUAGGCGGCGCGGUAAGUCGGGUGUGAAAUCUUGGAGCUUAACUCCGAAACUGCAUUCGAUACUGCCGUGCUUGAGGACUGGAGAGGAGACUGGAAUUUACGGUGUAGCGGUGAAAUGCGUAGAUAUCGUAAGGAAGACCAGUGGCGAAAGCGGGUCUCGUGGACAGUUCCUGACGCUGAGGCACGAAGGCCAGGGGAGCAAACGGG
rnacentral:rRNA from 1 species